rnacentral:rRNA from 1 species
UGGCUAACUCCUACGGGAGGCAGCAGUGGGGAAUCUUCCGCGAUGGGCGCAAGCCUGACGGAGCAACGCCGCGUGAGUGAAGAAGGUCUUCGGAUCGUAAAGCUCUGUUGAUGGGGACGAACGUACGGAGUGCGAAUAGUGCUCUGUAAUGACGGUACCUAUCGAGGAAGCCACGGCUAACUACGUGCCAGCAGCCGCGGUAAUACGUAGGUGGCGGGCGUUGUCCGGAAUCAUUGGGCGUAAAGGGAGCGCAGGCGGGCAUGUAAGUCUUUCUUAAAAGUUCGGGGCUCAACCCCGUGAUGGGAAAGAAACUACAUGUCUUGAGUACAGGAGAGGAAAGCGGAAUUCCCAGUGUAGCGGUGAAAUGCGUAGAUAUUGGGAGGAACACCAGUGGCGAAGGCGGCUUUCUGGACUGCAACUGACGCUGAGGCUCGAAAGCCAGGGGAGCGAACGGGAUUAGAAACCCCGGUAGUCCAGCUGG